GCACACCAGUGUCUAGGGGCCGCAGGGAAUUGGAAGAAAGGAUCCAGUGUAAACAUAACUUCCAAGCUGACCAUUGCUCUAUUGCUCUCUUGGCAGCUGGAGGUGGGGUCUUUGGGAGUUUCUUGCUUUCUGUUGCACCGUGUGAAGAGGCAGAGGUGGUCAGAAGAGUGGACAGCCCAACAUCACUUGAAAGAGUGCAGCCUGGAAUUCAACUGGAUGGUCUGAGUAUAUUUGGGGACCUCACACGACUAGGAGAACCGGGAUGAAUCGAUAGGGCGAAGUUUUAUCAUCUUUGUACUAUCAACCCGGACAUGUUAUUCAGGCCUGUAGAGAAGAUGGAGUUUGUGGCCUUCAGGGAAUGAAGGAAAAGUAUUUGAGCAUUAGACCUUCCAUAAUCAACGGUUUGUAGAAAACCUCUAUUUCUAGGUGUAUCAUGUCCCGUUCAUUCCAAAUCACUGAGCCAUCAGGAGACACCAAACAAACAUGAUCCAUGAGGAACAGGGAUGAACGAGGUUACAGCAGAGAAGCACGCUUUACUUGGGCAGAGCCCACGCUCACUGCCCUGACCAGCCUAGCCUGUGCCGGCCGCCUCCUGAGGUCUUUCUUAAGCAAACUAAGUGUGAUUAAAAUGGGCUUUUAACAAUACUCAACUGUCUUUUUAUGUGAUCAGCUGUGUUUAUUUCUGUUGUUUUAAAACUGGAAUAAGUAUGCUUGAGUAAGUGUACAUACACACCCACACACACCCACACACACACACAGGUGCAUAUUCUUUUUUUUUUUUUUAGGUAAUGAAAGGCUAAAAUUUAUCAAAGAGUUAACCAUUUGCCAGGACUGUUCAUGCAGGACAUUAUUUCAUUUAAUUAAUUUCAUUUAAUAAUUGGCCUUAUUCGUUAAUCUUUAAAGCAGCUCUAUGAGGUAGGUAUAUUAUUAUCCUAUUUUCACAGAUGAGGAAACUGAGGCCCCCAAAAUUUUAAGUAAAAUGCCCAAGAUCACAAAGCUAGUAGAACACAUGAGGUUGUAGAGGAAGUGAAAACGAGAAGCCAGACAGCAAAAUGCAGAUCUUGAGUCUUUAUGCAUCAUGUUAGAAUGCUUCCCAUGGUCUUUAGAAAAUUUAGAAAAUAAUUAAGAAAUAAAUGUCACUCAUAAUUACAUUGUUAGGAGACGAUCGUAAUCUAUAUUUUCAUGCUUUUAUGCACAUAGAGACUAUUACGCCAGUGCAAGGUUUUCA